GGGGACAUAACUGAGUUGGUAGAAUGCUUGCCUUGAAUACACAAGGCCCUGGGUUCAAUUCCCAGUACCCCCC
rnacentral:tRNA from 1 species